AUGGAUAUAUCCCAAGGGGCCGCCGCUGCCCCRACCCAGCCUGCGGCAGUCCCGGUGGCGGGAGGAUGCUCCUCCGGGCGCGGGCGCAGCUCCUCUGCUGCCUCCUGCUCCCUCUGCUCCGGCGGGGUAAGGCCAGCCGUGCCUCCGGGAGCUGCUGUGGGGCCGGGGGCUGUUCAGGGCCGGGGCAGCRCAGGGAUCUGCACUCCGGAGCUGCCCUGGCCCCGCUCACCUCCGCUGUGCCCAGCUCAGCCCAAGCGCGGGGCAUCCCGGGGUGCCGUAGCGCCGCGGCACCGCCCUGGCCGGCACCCCAGAGCCAGCCGGGCACCAGGACUGUGCCCACUGUGCAGCCUGCAUGCCCCAUGUCUCCUCGCUGCAGGGCGCGGGGACCCAGUGCACGGAGACCUGGCGGACGGAGGUGAGGCUGCGCCAGCGCCCGCGCGGGGCUGCGCCGGGCUCCUGCAGCAUCGCUGCUCCCCAGGGCUGCGGGCGGAGGGGGGGCAGCCCCAGCCUGGCGCGGUGCCGYGGGUCCCGCAGUGCCGAUGGCUCCGUCUGUCCUUCCAGGUCACUACCUCUACCUGGACGAGGACGGACCGCUGGAGGUGCUGGCCGGGCCGGCCCACUGCCAGGACACCUACCGGGACUGGAUCUCCUUGUACUGCUGGGCCCCCUUCCACGCCGCCGUCACAGCCACCCCCGARGGCAGCCGGUGCCGCUGGGACCACAUCGGCAGCAUCUACAGCGAGCUCUCCAACUGCACGGAGGUGCUGGCAGAGGUGCUGGCCUGCCCCUGGCCCAGCUCGGCGCUGGACGCCUUCUUCCUGCAGAUCCACGCCGAGUAUUUCAGCGGCUGCGCCAGGGCUGGGGAGGCCACGCCGGGCGGGCUGCCCCUGGGGCUGGCUGCGGCGCUGGCCGCCGGGCUCGGCUGCCUGGUCCCCCUCGCGGUCGCCCUCACGCUCAGCAGAGCCGGCAAAGUGGUGCCCAAGCCGCCGGGCAGCAGCCCCGUGCCGCCCCGCGCCGAGCGGAGCGCAAGCCACCUCCGCGCCAGUGCCGGGAACGGCCCGGUGGGGGCCGGAGGGGGCAGCG
rnacentral:lncRNA from 1 species